rnacentral:rRNA from 1 species
UACGUAGGGGGCAAGCGUUGUCCGGAAUCAUUGGGCGUAAAGCGCGUGUAGGCGGCUCGGUAAGUCCGCUCUGAAAGCCCGGGGCUCAACCCCGGGAGGCGGGUGGAUACUGCUGAGCUCGAGUCCGGAAGAGGAGUGUGGAAUUCCUGGUGUAGCGGUGAAAUGCGCAGAUAUCAGGAGGAACACCAAUGGCGAAGGCAGCACUCUGGGACGGUACUGACGCUGAGACGCGAAAGCUAGGGGAGCAAACGGG